CCCUUAGAUGUCCUGGGCCGCACGCGCGUUACACUGAUGCAUUCAACGAGCUUAUAACCUUGGCCGAGAGGCCUGGGCAAUCUUGUUAACGUGCAUCGUGAUAGGGAUAGAUUAUUGAAAUUAUUAAUCUUGAACGAGGAAUUCCUAGUAAACGCAGAUCAUCAAUCUGCAUUGAUUACGUCCCUGCCCUUUGUACACACCGCCCGUCGCACCUACCGAUUGGACGGUCCGGUGAAGCCUCGGGAUUGUGGUUCUUGCCGCUUUAUUGUGGCGUGACCGCGAGAACUUGUCUAAACCUUAUCAUCUAGAGGAAGGUGAAGUCGUAACA
rnacentral:rRNA from 1 species